rnacentral:rRNA from 1 species
GAGGAAUAUUGGUCAAUGGACGAGAGUCUGAACCAGCCAAGUAGCGUGCAGGAAGACGGCCCUAUGGGUUGUAAACUGCUUUUAUAAGGGAAUAAAGUGAGAGUCGUGACUCUUUUUGCAUGUACCUUAUGAAUAAGGACCGGCUAAUUCCGUGCCAGCAGCCGCGGUAAUACGGAAGGUCCGGGCGUUAUCCGGAUUUAUUGGGUUUAAAGGGAGCGUAGGCCGGAGAUUAAGCGUGUUGUGAAAUGUAGAUGCUCAACAUCUGAACUGCAGCGCGAACUGGUUUCCUUGAGUACGCACAAAGUGGGCGGAAUUCGUGGUGUAGCGGUGAAAUGCUUAGAUAUCACGAAGAACUCCGAUUGCGAAGGCAGCUCACUGGAGCGCAACUGACGCUGAAGCUCGAAAGUGCGGGUAUCGAAC